UGGGGAAUAUUGGACAAUGGGCGAAAGCCUGAUCCAGCCAUGCCGCGUGUGUGAAGAAGGUCUUCGGAUUGUAAAGCACUUUAAGUUGGGAGGAAGGGCAUUAACCUAAUACGUUAGUGUUUUGACGUUACCGACAGAAUAAGCACCGGCUAACUCUGUGCCAGCAGCCGCGGUAAUACAGAGGGUGCAAGCGUUAAUCGGAAUUACUGGGCGUAAAGCGCGCGUAGGUGGUUUGUUAAGUUGGAUGUGAAAUCCCCGGGCUCAACCUGGGAACUGCAUUCAAAACUGACUGACUAGAGUAUGGUAGAGGGUGGUGGAAUUUCCUGUGUAGCGGUGAAAUGCGUAGAUAUAGGAAGGAACACCAGUGGCGAAGGCGACCACCUGGACUAAUACUGACAUUGAGGUGCGAAAGCGUGGGGAGCAAACA
rnacentral:rRNA from 1 species